GGUUCCGUAGUGUAGUGGUUAUCACGUUCGCUUUUCACGCGAAAUGCCCCCGGUUCUAUCCCGGGAGGAACCA